CGGAACGUACCCAGAAGUGGGGGAUAACGUAGCGAAAGUUACGCUAAUACCGCAUACGAUCCACGGAUGAAAGUAGGGGACCUUCGGGCCUUAUGCUUUUUGAGCGGCCGAUAUCUGAUUAGCUAGUUGGUAGGGUAAAGGCCUACCAAGGCGACGAUCAGUAGCUGGUCUGAGAGGACGACCAGCCACACUGGAACUGAGACACGGUCCAGACUCCUACGGGAGGCAGCAGUGGGGAAUUUUGGACAAUGGGCGAAAGCCUGAUCCAGCAAUGCCGCGUGAGUGAAGAAGGCCUUCGGGUUGUAAAGCUCUUUUGUCAGGGAAGAAACGGUAGAGGCUAAUAUCCUUUGCUAAUGACGGUACCUGAAGAAUAAGCACCGGCUAACUACGUGCCAGCAGCCGCGGUAAUACGUAGGGUGCAAGCGUUAAUCGGAAUUACUGGGCGUAAAGCGUGCGCAGGCGGUUUUGUAAGUCUGACGUGAAAUCCCCGGGCUCAACCUGGGAAUUGCGUUGGAGACUGCAAGGCUAGAAUCUGGCAGAGGGGGGUAGAAUUCCACGU
rnacentral:rRNA from 1 species